CGACGACGAAUGCCACCCCUGCGCAGGC
rnacentral:sRNA from 1 species